UGACCACCUGUUCCUGAUAAGACAGCUAAUAGAGACGGGUCUUUUAGGAUAGGAGGAAGUGGGCACCAACUGGCCAAAGUUGCCUGCAGUAUCUUGGCCAGAGGAGUCUGUAGAGAAGUUUCAGCAGCUCUCUCUGGCCACCCAGUUCCCAUUGCCUUCACUGCCAAACCACAGGAACAUACUGCAGGUCUCUCAAUGACCACUGAGGGGACGCACGAGUCUACAUUACCAACUGUACACAUGAAUCCCAGCCAAACACUAUUGUAUUAACAGCAACAAGUGAUGCAUAUUUGAACAAAAGAAUGAAUGUUUACUCCUACAAUAUAUAUGAUUUUAAAAAUAUUUUAAAGUCUUAUUUAUUGUUAGUUGCAAGGAGAAUAUUUGCUGCUUAAGAAUGCUAAAUUGAUAAGAUUGUUACUGACAGUUUAUAAACCUUUAAAUCACAUUUUGUGGGGACAUUUUAGCAGGGCUUUGCCAGUGUUCACUUAUACUGCCUCACAGUAGAACGGGAUAAAGAGCGUUCACUGUGCUAUUUAUUUGUUUUAAGUGUGUGUAAAUGUUUUUCUGUUUGUUUGUUGGUGAGUAUGUCUGUUUUGUAUGUGUUUCCUAGUUUAUAUUUGCGAUAAAUUUGCACUUUGCUCAUGUAGGACGGUGUUUUCAUCUUUUUAAUGCUAACCUAUCUAAUGUAAUAAAAUUUAAUUUUGUGAAUACGUCUAAGUAUAUCUCUCACGUGUUCUUUCGUGUAGCUCA
ensembl:lncRNA